rnacentral:rRNA from 1 species
CCUACGGGGGGCAGCAGUGGGGAAUAUUGGGCAAUGGGGGCAACCCUGACCCAGCGACGCCGCGUGAGGGAAGAAGGCCUUAGGGUCGUAAACCUCUGUUGUGUGGGAAGAAGGAAGUGACGGUACCACACGAGGAAGUCCCGGCUAACUACGUGCCAGCAGCCGCGGUAAUACGUAGGGGACGAGCGUUGUCCGGAAUUACUGGGCGUAAAGGGCGCGUAGGCGGUCAUUUAAGUCAGCUGUGAAAUGGUCCGGCUCAACCGGAUCAUGCGGUUGAAACUGGAUGACUGGAGUGCUGGAGAGGCAAGUGGAAUUCCCAGUGUAGCGGUGAAAUGCGUAGAUAUUGGGAAGAACACCGGUGGCGAAGGCGACUUGCUGGCCAGCAACUGACGCUGAGGCGCGAAAGCCAGGGGAGCAAACGGGAUUAGAUACCCCAGUA